rnacentral:lncRNA from 1 species
ACUUCAAACUGUUAAAGAUUUUUUGAAGGAACACAUACAGAAGAAGAGGAAGAAAGUUCUCCCAAGUUUGACUCAGGUACAUCAUGUGGUGCUACCAUUCACUCCUUUAUAUGGUGGCCUCUAUAUUUGCUUUGGUCUCCCUACAUUGAAUGCAUUUUGUUGCAAUUUGCUUUUAUAUCAAUUUAUAGAAAACU